AACUGAUUUGCUUAAUUUUAUUAUGAGUUCAAAUUAGUCAUUUUAUUAUUAAUUAUGGAGUUUUAUUAUUGUAAUUGUAUGUAAACUAAGAUGAUUUUUUUUGUAAGUUUACUUAGUUAAACAAGAAUUAGAGACUCUUUUAUAGGUAGAUUUAUUUUUUGUUUUCUCAGUUAUAACUGAAAGAAAUUGGCAGCUAGUUAUAUCCUUCUAGGGGAACGUGUGUUUUAAGAGAUGAUCCACUAAUUAUUUUACUAUAGUUAGAUUGUUGGUGUAUAUCCGGUUUAGUUACACAAAAUGAGUAUUUUGUGUAUAAAUUAUAUUUUUAAUCCAGGUCGAUAUGCUGCUAAUAUUAUAGAUAAUAUUCGUUACAUUAUAAAUUUAAGAGAUGAAAUAUUUUUUAGUUUUAGGACUUAGUAGUAUUAUGAAAUUUUAAGUAGUUCGUGAGAAUAAGGUUUAAUUGGGGUACACAUCGCCCGUCAUCUUCGAUUAUUAGUU
rnacentral:rRNA from 1 species